AGGACGGCUUGGCGCGAGCUUCCCUGCUCUCGCGCGAAGAGGCGGCUCCGAGCAGCCGAGCGCCAUCGCCGCGGAGGGUAGCAGCGCCGCGCAGCCGUGAGUACCAGGGAGGAGCGCCCCGGCGGACUGGAGAUCUGCUGCUGCGAAGCGCCGCGACGGGCCAGGGAGGAGCGCCGCCGCAGAUUGAGGAGGGCCGCCGCCCGGACCGAGCUCCUCACGCCACCGCAGAUCGAGGAGGACCGCCGCCCCGACCGAGCUCCUUCCUCACGCCGCCCGCCUCUCCCUGACUCAGGCGCGCUAGCCCCCAGAAUUUGGGUGUUAUGUUUUUGUGAAAGUGUUGUGCAAUGGCAGAAAUUAACAAGAGGAUACCUCAAGUUGGUAUGAGAUUUAGAGAUUCAGAUGAGGCUUGGGUGUUUUGGGUAGAAUAUGGAGGUGAUAUAGGUUUUGAUGUGAGGAAAAGAUGCACCAACUUAAGCAAGUUUGAUGGAAAGGCGACGUCACGCAGAUUUGUUUGUUCCAAUGAGGGCAUUAGAAGGAAAGGGCGACGAGAAAGAUGAAGUGGAAGAGAGAGAUGAAGUUCUUAUCUCUGCUCAUGUUUAUGCAAUGGAAGGAUAUAUGAAAAAUGAUAUGAAAGACUGUUGUUUUUAUUAACUGACAGUAAAAUUGUUGCUUAUAUCAGUA